CAAUUGACUUCUCUUUAACUCUUAUUUCUGCCCCAGGAACCAGUCCUUGAUCCACCACCUUCUGGUUAUUAUUUCACUUUGUUCACAUUCCGGAGACAUACAAUCGGCUGAUUUUAUCUUCUCUAACUACAUUUCUGCUUCAGAGGCUUUACUUGGUGGGAAUCAUCUUCAAAACUCCCCAAAACUGGCUUCUGCCCAACUCACAAGCCUCAUCUCACACGUUGCUCUUUUCCCCCCUUUCACCAGUUCUAGGCACACAGACUUCCUGUCAGUUCUUGGUCAAGCAAGUUCUUGUCCACCUGAGGACCUUGUCCUUGCCUGUUCUUCCCUCUGCCUGGAAGGCUUUCUUCUGUCUUCCAUGCCUGGCUCCUUCCCCAACUUCCAGCCUCACUUUAGAUGUGAUCUUCUCUGACCAUCUUAGCUGAAGUUGAUCUCCUCUCCCUUACUCUCCAUUGAGCUAAACAGUUUCUUUCAUCUAGAACUUAUGUAUUUACUAGUUCACUGUCUGAAAUCAUUUACUCUAGAACAGUCUGUCAUCUAAAGCCAGGAUGAUCAAACUACAGCACUAGCUUUGUUUUUGCAAAGCUCUGGAGGCAAAUAAAUCUCAGGACCCUCAAAUCACUAAGCCAAGGGAAAAGUGAAGCUGGGAUCUGUGUCAUGCAAACCCGCCUCCCAUCUUAUUCCUAAGUAAGAUAGCUACAAAGAUAAAAAAGCUACAUACCUCCCUCACAAUUUGCCCACAAGGAAAUUCCCUGUGAGCCUCAAGCUCUUUAUCCUGAAACCAUUCUGUUGAAUUUCACCCCAGCAAUGUAAACUGGUAACUUAUCUUCACCUCCCUGGACAGAAAGUCAUCUGUCUGAGGUUCACCUGAGACAAAUGCAUAUCUGAUGGUUUCCUCUGUCCUGUUAAGUAAAAAUGCAGAUUCACUGAGCCAGACUAACUUGUGUUUUCAGUGAAAGUCUGAUCAAGGACUCAAAACAAUGCAACCUUCUGUCUCUUUUGUCUAGCCUGGGUGGCCUGGAAACCACUACCCCACUCUUCAAAUUGUCCCUCAUUUCUGGACCGAAGCAAAGCAACGUACAUCUUACACAUACACAUAUUGAUUGACGUCUCAUGUCUUCCUGUCUCCCUAGAAUGUACAGAAGCAUGCUGCACCCCAACCACCGCGGGCACAUGUUGCCAGGACCUCCUUGAGGGUGUGUCAUAGACAUGCCUUUCACCUUUCUAAAUAAACUUUCUAAAUUGA